rnacentral:rRNA from 1 species
UACGGGGGGAGCAAGCGUUGUUCGGAUUUACUGGGCGUAAAGGGCGCGUAGGCGGCCUCCGCAAGUCAGUUGUGAAAUCUCCGAGCUUAACUCGGAAAGGUCAACUGAUACUGCGGGGCUAGAGUGCGGAAGGGGCAACUGGAAUUCUUGGUGUAGCGGUGAAAUGCGUAGAUAUCAAGAGGAACACCUGCGGCGAAGGCGGGUUGCUGGGCCGACACUGACGCUGAGGCGCGAAAGCUAGGGGAGCGAACGGGAUUAGAUACCCCGGUAGUCCUAGCCUUAAACGAUGAAUGCUUGGUGUCUGGGGUUAUAUAGUCCCCGGGUGCCGUCGCUAACGCUUUAAGCAUUCCGCCUGGGGAGUACGGUCGCAAGACUGAA